CAGGACAUUUCUUUGAGCUUUUAGAUAAAUAUUUUCAACUAAUACUUAAAAGAAAAACCAUUAAACUAUUCGGGUGGAAAAAUAGUCUCUGAGCAGCCAGUUUGGCAAAGGUUUGUUCAGCGAAUGUGUGUAAUUUCAAAUUACGCUGUGUUUUUAUUUCACAAAAAUUUCCAGCUUCCCUAGAACACUUCAAAUACUAAUAUCCAGAGUUUCCACUGGCAAUUCUUUUGUUUGUCCUGGAAGCAUCUUGCAAUUUGGGACUAAGAAAAUAUUGUGUUCUCUUUGGAUUUACAGACAUAAACAUAUGCAUUUCUUCUUCAGCACACAGUUCUUUUCAGGGAAAGCCAGGUUGAAUGGGCAGACUGUCAAAUAGUAAGAAGGCUUCAUCAAAAAUAUAUAGUACAUUUGGCUGAAAAAAAUGGUCUCCAAUAAAAUUUAAUCUAUUUAGAGAAAGACAAACUAUUAAGUAAUGACAUCCCAAUGUGAUUUGAUUAAAAGUAAUAUUUUGUGAAAUCACCAUUUAAACGCCUUUCCAGAGAGACUUAGAGAAUAUGCUGUACACGGUUGAAUCGUAUUCAUUAAACCAAACUCGUAAUACCCAGUGGAGCCUUAUUGUACAACAGGCCUGUGGUUAAUUGUAAUUCCAUUAGAGAAAUUGCAAAAAGGUGGUUUCUGCCCACAUCUUUGGAGACAGAGCUACUCCUCAGGUUCUGUGGUUAUUACUGUCUCGAUGGACAUUUAGAUUGUUCCUUAUAAUUUUACAACAAUACUUUUUGAAAUGAGUGGAAAAUCAGCUUGAGAAAGAGAGAAACGCAGGUAAAACCUGUGGAACAAUUGAAAGUUCAACUAAUGAAACAGUGAACUAGUGGAAUUCUUAAACCAUGCUGCUCCUUUGGUAUCAAAGAAGUUAAUUUGAUUUAUGUUGUCUAAAAAAAGAAAAGUAAAAACUUAAAAUAUUAGUAAACUAUAAGAUGAAUAGUAGCUUAGUGGACCAAUGACACAUAAAUUUUUGUAA
rnacentral:lncRNA from 10 species